GCACCAGCUAGGCCGGGCUGCAAUCCGACCGAAAAGCGGGUUUCUUCAACUCGCCUGCUGGUGCUCCUUAAAUUGAAGU
rnacentral:sRNA from 1 species